rnacentral:lncRNA from 1 species
AUCUCAUUCCACAGAGGAAGGAGGAAAGAGAGGGCAGAGGGAAAGAGGGCGGAAAACAAAAGGGGUUCAGGGCAGCCUUCACCGUGCCUCCCAGGAAGCCCCCACAGAACUCCCUCUUACACCUCACUGGCAGAGAAAUAGUUCCAAAGGCGUCUGGGAAAUGUAGUUUUUUUCCCAAAGGCAAUGAUUCCCAAUGGUAAAUCAUGGUUCUGUUCCUAAGGAAGAAAGUGGACUGCAUAGUGGGGCAAGCAGAUCACAGCCUGUGCCCUACGUGAGACGGCAUCUAUGGAUGUACAGGAUCUUCUGGAGGCUGAGGAGAGAGCACUUUAUAUGCGCUGAGACUUGGCUGCAGCCUCGACAUAUCCCGAGACACAGUCCUGUUUCUCAGCUUCUUGCAGGAUGUCAGCGAGGAGACUCCCGUACUGACCUGCGCUCCAAGAGCGUCUCCAUCCAUCGCCAAGGGGCUAGUGCCGGGUCUGGCCACUCCGUCACGUCAUUCCCUGAUAGCUUUGCUUGCAAUGCUUGCAUGCCCUCCUUCCUCCGUUUAUGUGCCCUGGAUCGUCCCUCUCCUUCCUCUGUGUCUUUCAGACAAAUGAAGAAACCGAGGCUCAGGGAAGAAAGCUCAGAGCCAGAUCGAAUGUGAAUUGAAGCCAUUUUCCUUGCCCCCAGGUUUCCGGGGUUGUCUGUAUUGUUGGAGCUGGACAACUUACGUCAGGGGAGGAAGAGGGAAGAGGUCCUGAAAAGAAGUGAGACUCAGCCAUUUAUAGGGAUCACCCAGCCUACUGUCUUAUUAGUUCUCUGCAGCCACGAAAUUAAAAGACGCUUGCUCCUUGGAAGAAAAGUUAUAAUCAACCUAGACAGCAUAUUAAAAAGCAGAGACAUUACUUUGCCAACAAAGGUCUGUCUAGUCAAAGCUAUGGUUUUUCUAGUAGUCAUGACAGAUGUGAGAGUUGGAUUAUAAAGAAAGCUGAGUGCCGAAGAAUUGAUGCUUUUGAACUGUGGUGUUGGAGAAGACUCUUGAGAGUCCCUUGGGCUGCAAGGAGAUCCAGCCAGUCCAUCCUGAAGGAAAUCAGUCCUGAAUAUUCAUUGGAAGGACUGAUGUUGAAGCUGAAACUGCAGUACUUUGGCCACCUGAUGUGAAGAACUGACUCAUGUGAAAAGACCCUGAUGCUGGGAAAGAUUGAAGGCAGGAGGAGAAUGGCAUAAUAGAGGAUGAGACGGUUGGAUGGCAUCAUCUCCUCAGUGGACAUGAGUUUAAGCAAGCUCUGGGGGUUGGUGAUGGACAGGUAAGCCUGGUGUGCUACAGUCCAUGGGGUCACAAAGAGCCAGACACAACUGAGCAACUGAACUGAACUGAUUUUAAAUUUGAAUAGAAGUCUAGGGUAUGAACAAC